UUUCAAAAAAUAUUUUUCCUUGUAGAUUCUCCACCUUCAGAGUUCGUUUUUGAGGGUUGUAUUUUGAUGACCCCAGUUGCAGUGUCUUGUGGCAUCGCUCAUUUAUAUUCCUUGUUCUGCAGCACUAUGGAUCUUCCUCAGAAGAACAUGGAGUUGCUUCUGUGGAACUGGUUAUCUGCCAUGGCCUCAACAAUCCAUAAAUCCAUGCAUGGAGAGGAUUCCCCAUGGUCAGAAGUCAACUUGUACAUCUAGUUAAAAUCCAAGUGCCUUCCUUUGGCCUGGACCUGACCCCACACGCCAUGAGCACACUGCUGUAUUCAGCAAGAGGAGUUUCGAUUUGAAGUGGUUUGUCUUGGAAGCUUCCGCUUGGAGAGGAUUUAUUGAACCAACUUAUGAGAACCUCCCAGCUUUCUGAUUGGUGCCCUGAGCAAUAAAGAGUAAACCCAAUAAACCUCCUGCAAGCAAAUUUCCAUCUCAGAUGUUCUUUCCUUGGGAACCCAAUCUAUGCCCACCACCAACAAAAAUCAUGUCAAACAGUAGGCGCUUCAACAAAUAUCAUUUCAAUAACUAGGUGAGAAUAUGAAGAAGGAAAUAAAUGAAGACACUUACCUUCAUCAUCCCUGGGACAAUAUACAUGAGAGUAAAGAUGGGGAACACAAAAACAGUCAUUAUGGACACAGGUUAAAUAGACUAAAUAAAACUAUAGUCACAGACUGCUUGAUCAGAAAAAUAGUGGAAUAUACCAAUUUGCUCAGACAUGAAGUAUGUUACGAAGAAUGGUGGCUUCAGCAAACAUUUGCUACAGACAAGGGACUACUUUAAUGUACGCCUAUUGUGAAAACGAUUAUAAAGGAUGGUUCUUUCAAGCAGUCCUCUGUUAUUGCAUAUACACAAUCAGAUUAUAAACAUUUUCUGUAAGGCCAUGUUUGAAACAACUCUGUGGAUGUGAAGUUAUAAAAUAACAACAGUGUUCAGUUUGAUUCUUUUGGGACGUGACUCAAUAUGCAGUUUCAGAAGCACAAACUGAACUUCUAAUUAUUACUCAGUGGGCGUGAUCUUAAAGCCCACCGUCUGCCUCUCGGUUGAACUCUCUAAACCGAUAAAAGGGUGCUGUAUUACUGAAGACACAGCACAGGCAAGAAAAACUUUCAGAGCUUCAAGCCAUGAAAAUUGCAUUUCACUUCUGCCCUUUUAAAAGUGUGUAUGAGAUCCAGCCAUAGACAGUCUCACAGCAGAGUCAGCAUGCCUUUCCAGGCUUUACUACCAAGCAAGGGUUUUAUAAUACAGGCAAAUUAUAAUGCAGAUAUGUAUUAAAACUGUUGAAUGAGGACAAUUUGUACCUUGUACUUUCCAAGAAUUUUUCCAAGAGACUUUUGUUCUUUUUUGUUACAGAUCUAGGCAAAAUUAAAUAAAAGUUGAUAGCUUGAGGAAACAAACUUUACAAAAGGCAAGCUAAUUAAAAUAUU